UUAAUGUUAAUUAGGAUAUAUUAAUCCUAAUUUUAAGGUUAAGUAAUUAGAAAACCCUAAUCUAAUUACGAAUAUUUAAUUUCUAAUUUAGAAAAUUUAUUUUCUAUUAGAAACCCUAAUUUGUGGGUUGAAAACCCUAAUGACCAUUUUGAACCCUAAUUGUACAGUGGUGGAUUUAAUUGCUGUAAUUGCUAUGUUAAUUAGGAAAUAUAAAUCCUAAUUGUCAAGUUAUUAG
rnacentral:lncRNA from 1 species